UAAUUGAAGCCAAAAUAGAGGCAUAUCACUGUUAAUGAUAUAAUUGAAAUAAAUUUCCAAUUAAG
rnacentral:tRNA from 1 species